rnacentral:rRNA from 1 species
UUCGGAUUGCAGUCUGCAACUCGAGUGCAUGAAGCUGGAAUCGCUAGUAAUCGCGGAUCAGAAUGCCGCGGUGAAUACGUUCCCGGGUCUUGUACACACCGCCCGUCACACCAUGGGAGUCGGGAAUGCCCGAAGCCGGUGGCCCGAUCGAAAGAAGGGAGCCGUCGAAGGCAGGCCGGAUGACUGGGGUGAAGUCGUAACAAGGUAAC